GACAGAGGGUGCAAACGUUGUUCGGAAUUACUGGGCGUAAAGCGUGUGUAGGCGGUCUCAUAAGUCGGAUGUGAAAGCCCCGGGCUCAACCCGGGAAGUGCAUUCGAAACUGCGAGGCUAGAGUAUCGGAGAGGUUGGUGGGAAUUCUCGGUGUAGAGGUGAAAUUCGUAGAUAUCGAGAGGAACACCGGUGGCGAAGGCGGCCAACUGGACGAAUACUGACGCUGAGACACGAAAGCGUGGGGAGCAAACAGG
rnacentral:rRNA from 1 species